CACGUAGGGCGCAAGCGUUGUCCGGAAUUAUUGGGCGUAAAGAGCUCGUAGGCGGUGUGUCGCGUCGGCCGUGAAAACCUGCAGCUUAACUGUGGGCUUGCGGUCGAUACGGGCAUCACUGGAGUUCGGCAGGGGAGACUGGAAUUCCUGGUGUAGCGGUGAAAUGCGCAGAUAUCAGGAGGAACACCGGUGGCGAAGGCGGGUCUCUGGGCCGUAACUGACGCUGAGGAGCGAAAGCGUGGGGAGCGAACAGG
rnacentral:rRNA from 1 species